UCACUGGGGUUAAUUUCGUCUCCUGCUUUCUUUAUGUAGCGUGGGAUCUCCUAAGCCCACAAGGCAAUAAGGUUUUUCUCCUUUUGCUUUAUUUUCUUUUAUUCUCUCCAUACUUCUUUACUCAUGUGUCUUGCAGUAUUGGGCUUUAGUCCAAUUUUCGUCCCAUGCUUUGGCUAAAAUUUAUAUUAAUUAGUUUAGCUCAUUAAUAUAUCAAAACUCGGAAAUUAUAACGUACCUAUCACACAUAUGAUAUAUUACUACUAGUAGAUAACAUAGUAUAUGUCAAACUAAUAAAUAAUCCAACAAACAUAUUUUCUAAAUAACAUAUGAAAACAAUUAAAACCAUAACUUAUAAUUUAUAAUACUAAUAGAGAGCUAGUAAGAUGGAAUUAAAAGGUUAUAAUAUAUAAUAAUUCACACUUAUCAGUAAGCGAGGGAAAAGAGAGUUGCUCAUUUGUGUGUAAAAAAAGGGUCCGGCUUUAUUGGUUGAACAGAGACCUUGACUAAAUGGCUCUAGUUACCCCAAAAAUUGCAAUCCUUGAUUGUUAAAUUCAUUCAGUUUUUGGGCUAAAUGGAGCCAAUAGUUGACUUUAUUUUUGUAUAUGAAAGCGAAUAAUGCUUCGUUUUUCAAACAAUCGAAGCCUAUUUGAAAUAGCACUUGCCCUUUUUUUUCUCUAGUGAAAGAUUAUUUUGUUUCUCUAGUGAAAGAUUAUUUUGUAAGGAAUCCUAAACUCACCAAGAGUAUUGGGGGACAAGCUUAAAGAAUGUGUUGUUGUAAUUUUUAUUGAUUAGUUUUCGACUAAAGGAAUACCAAAGCAUGUCUUAACACUGUUUUAUGGGUUAGCACUCAACUUUGCUGAUGUAUAUGUUUUGUUUUCUCAUUGUUGUGGCAUGUGCCUUGUUGUGUUGUAAUGUACUUAUUAGAGUAACAGUAUAGGUACAGGAUAAAAUGGUCUUUUACUAGUCAUAUAUUUGUAUUGUAAACACUAUAUAUAUUGAAUGACAGGGUUAACCUAAUCAGGUUAACACAAUUAUUCUCCACACUUGUAUAUGGUAUCACAGUCUAGGGCUUUCUAAGAUUAUUUUUCCGUAAUUUUUUUUUUCCUUCGAUUGAUUUUUCAACACGCUUCUGUCACACAAGCUGCCCUCGUGCAGCCACAGCCGGCACCGACCACCGGCGCCUCUUCGUCUGCGCCGGCGCGUGCCCACUCCUUCUCGCAGCCUUCUCACAGCCUUUUGCUGCUUCCACUAGGGGAAAAAACGGAAGAGCUGCGUUUUUCUUAAAACGCAGCCCUUAAUAGUGAAGGGUUGCGGUUAGCCCAAAAUCCGGAGCCCUUCGUAAACGAAGGGCUGUGGUUUUUUUAAAAACGCAACCCUUUUAGUGAAGGGUUGCGGUUAGCCCAAAAACCGCAGCCCUUCAUCUUCGAAGGGCUGCGGUUUUUGGGCUAACGGCAACCCUUUACCCACCCGCGAAAAUAUUAUUUCAAUGGGCAUUUAAAUAUUUUGGAAGAAAUUCAAUGGGCGGGCUUUUAAAAUAUUCAGCACUCUUUAUUAAACCCUCAUUCUCUCUCUCCUCUCUCACACAUCUCACAAAUCUCUUCUCUCAUGCAAAUAUAUUCAAACCUCCACCACCACAAAUCUUCACACCAUCACCACAAAUCCUCCUUCGUCUCUCGUCUCUGGGAUUUCCUCGCGUCUCCUCCUACCGUCGCUCACACCACCACUCCCCCUCUUCUCUUGCCUCCUCUGCCGUCGCUCACACCACUUCGUCGGCAUUCACACAAAUCGCUCCUCGUCCCACACCACCUCGCCAGCAUUGUUUUUGUAUUUGUUGGUUUUUGAUGGUAUUUUUCGUAUUUUUUUGUCAAUUUUAGGUUUUUUAGUUUUAUGGAAUUAAUUUGAGAUGGUUCGAGAUUAAUUUGAGAUCCAGGGUUAGAGAUUUACUCGGUUUUUUAUCAAAUUUGUUUUUCGAAUUUUAGGCUUUUUUUAUUUUAUUUUGUGGAAUUAAUUUGAUUUUAUGUUGUUGAUUCGUUUGAGAGAGAUUUUGUGUAUUAACAAAAUUCUUAUGUAGACCGGAUCCACCAUGGGAAUGGUAGUAUCAAAGUUUUUUAAGCAGUGUGCGAAAACUCUAAACUACAUCUGUGUUGAGAAUAUACCAUGUUUAUUAGUAUUGGGGGUUAAUUAGUUUUAGCAAUUUAGUUUGACAAAGUCACAUUUAUUGUUGUUCUGGCAUUGUUUUUUUUUUUUUUUUUUUAUGUUUUUGUGUUAAGUUCUCUUAGCAUUGUAAUAGGCGGGUCCAACAAUAACAUGGGACUUGGUUGUGGGAGGUUGCGACUUGGAGUACAGCGCUGAGUUCAUCCCAAAUGCCCAGGAUAGCUACAACCUCGCCGUGAGGAAACCGAGAAAACUCAGCCCCUCUGACGAAGCCAUCCACAACUCGUUCUUGGCAAGAGAGGCGGGGAAAGUCGUGCUGUCAGUUGACAACACCACAUAACUGAGGAGAAAGGUUGUUGGUUAUCGCUAUAUUGUCCGCAAAUCUUCACUAGUCUAGUUUGAUCCCUUAUGUAAAAUAACCAAAGCAUCCUAGGUCUUUUAGGUUUCGGCUCUUUUUUGUUUGUUUGAGGUUAUUAAACUUAUAGCUCUUCUUGCUUAUAUAUUUUAACUAAUGUUUUGUAUGCCUAAGCCUAUGAUUUUUUUUUGUUUUUCUGGGUCAAAAGGGUUGCGGUUAUGGUCAAAAUUGCAGCCCUUUGUACAAAGAAGGGUUGUGGUUUAGGCCCAAAACUGCAGCCCUUCCAUAUUGGAAUAGUUGCGAUUUUGGGCCUAAACUGCAGUCCUUCGUUGUGAAGGGCUGCUACGGAAAGGCUGCUGGCCAAAAACACAACCGUUAGGGCUGUUUUGACCGCAACCCUUCCGCAGUCGUUCUUCACACAGCCCCACUCGGCUGUUUCUCGAACCAAGUUCUUGGUUUUCCUUUUUCGGUUCUUAAUGGGAUGUAAUCUCCCUUGUCGUCGAGCACACCACCGCGAUUUUCGCCAGGCUUUCUGACGCCCUCUGUCGCGCCAACAACCACGGCUAUGCCGCCAUUGCACAAAUCCACGUCGGCGUAUCUCUUUGCUCUACCGCAUAUUUCUUCCCUAAUCUCAGUAUUCUGGAAACGAUCACUCUCUCUUCGCCUGAGGAUUAUUUAUUGUGAAAAACUCAGAUUACUUGUUUGCUUCUUUCACAUCAACUGCUUGGUAUGGUUGAAGUUCCUCCUGCUGCUAUUAUUGAUGAUCGUGGUGUUUCAAUUCCUAAUGCUCCUUUUUAUGAAUAUAUGCGUGUUGAUCAACAAAUUAAAUGUAUUGGAUUUUUGCCACGUUGUCUCAUGAUGUUUUUGUUGAUGUGCAUGAUUUAUCUACCUGAGUGGAAAUUUGGAAUCGUUUAUAGACUAGUUUUAUGCAUGCUAGUAUGGCUCGUUCUAUGGAAUUGAAAGGUCGUCCUACUCGUAUCAAAAAAAGUGAAUCUCAGUCUAUGGAUGGAUAUUUGCGUGGGAUUAAUAAGGUUAUUGCAGAUUCCUUGGCUGCUAUUCAAUGUCUUUUCUCUAAUCAGGAUUUAGUUCAGCAUAAAUUAUUUGGUUUGGAUCGUGAUUCUGAGUAUGAUCAUAUUGUUACCACUCUGUUGCAUUACCCUUUCCCUCUUAGUUUUGAUGAUUUGCGCCCUAAGUUGCUUCUUCAUGAACAACGUCUCAAAAGUUCGAAGGAUGCAGUUGAUUCAUCCUCUCAUCUUGCCUUAAUUAACGUUGUCGUUCAGUCUUCUGGUUCUGGUUCCUCCUCCUCUACUCCUCGCAGCCUUGCUGCUCCUUUGCUACCCACCCAGCCCAAGCCCCAUGGCUUGCCUCCCAGCCCUUCUUCCGCUACUGCCUGGCCCGCUCCCCAUCCACCGAGCUACGUCGCAUGACUUCUCUCGCGAGGAGUCUGCCUCGCCAGCUGGGUCUCCAAUGCCCGCUCGCUUACAGCUGCUAGGCGCGCAUCUCCUUCCCCGCCCGCUGGCUCGCAUAGCCUCACUCCAGCGACUCCUGGCGGGCACGCUGGCCCACCAGCGUCCGCUAGCCCCGCCUCGGCCCCCGAAUCCCGCCCCACUAAGCGCAACGUUGAGCAUUUCAUUCCCACGUUUGACCCUCCCUCACCCUCUCGUCUUGUGUUCCACGACCAGCCCUUAUCUAUCUCUUCUUCUGUUGUUGUCAACCGUCAUCCCAUGGUCACCCAUUUAAAGGAUGGUGUCUCCAGGACUAAAGUCUUAAUGAACUUAAACACUUAAAGUGUAGAGUCUGAACCUACUAAUUUUAAACAAGCUUCUAAAGACUUACGUUGGCGUCAAGCUAUGCUAGAUGAAUAUAAGGCUUUAAUUAAUAAUGACACAUGGGAGUUGGUACCCCGCAACUAUGAUAAGAAUUUACUUUGUUGUAAGUGGGUUUAACGGAUUAAUUACAAUUCUGAUAGUUCUGUGGAGCAGUUCAAAGCCAGGCUUGUCGUUUUUGGAAAUCACCAGCAUGCAGAAUUUUCAGAUAUCUGCAGGGCACAUUGGAUUUCGGCCUCUUCUUAUAUAGCAGCAGUUCUCCUACUGUUGUUAUUGUCUACCUGAUGCAGAUUGGGCAGGAUGCCCUGACACGCGACGUUCUACUACUGGCUAUGUUGUUUUCUGGGGAAGAAUCUUAUUUCCUGGCGUUCGAAAAAGCAACCUACUCUCUCUAAAUCCUCCACUGAAGCUGAAUACAGGGUUGUUGCUUACACAGUUGCAAAAACCAUUUGGCUCAAACAACUUCUUGCUGAUAUUGGCCAUGUUCUUCGUCGUCCUGUGAUUGUUUAUUGUGAUAAUGUCUCUACACUUAUCUCACUGCUAAUCCAGUUCAUCAUGAUCGUAACAAACAUAUUGAUGUCGAUUAUCAUUUUGUUCGGAAAAUGGUUGCCGAGGGAGGUCUUAUUGUUCGACAUGUUCCUAAAUAGUCUCAGGUUGCUGAUAUUUCACUAAGGCCCUAUCUACUGACUUGUUUACUAAACAUUGUACCAAUCUAUCUAUUGUUUCACCCCGUAAAGAUUGAGGUGGUGUAUUAGAGUAACAUUAUUUGUAAAAGGAUAGAAUGGUUUUUUACUAGUAAUAGGUCUGCAUUGUAAACACUAUAUAUAUUGAAUGAUAGGGUUAACCAAUCAGGUUAACACAAUUAUUCUC